UACGUAGGGCGCAAGCGUUAUCCGGAAUUAUUGGGCGUAAAGAGCUCGUAGGCGGCUUGUCACGUCGGAUGUGAAAGCCCGGGGCUUAACCCCGGGUCUGCAUUCGAUACGGGCUAGCUAGAGUGUGGUAGGGGAGAUCGGAAUUCCUGGUGUAGCGGUGAAAUGCGCAGAUAUCAGGAGGAACACCGGUGGCGAAGGCGGAUCUCUGGGCCAUUACUGACGCUGAGGAGCGAAAGCGUGGGGAGCGAACAGG
rnacentral:rRNA from 1 species